rnacentral:siRNA from 1 species
CCGAUCAAGUUCUAUACACCGCCC